rnacentral:lncRNA from 1 species
AUUCAUUGGAAUGCAUGGGUAAAUAUUGCACAACAUUUAUAUAUUGAUUAUACAUCCUAAUUCAAUAAUUCAUACACUUUCCUAGCAAUCACUCAUUAAUACUUACAUUGCAUGAUCAUGAUUAUUUCAAAAUAUGACAAAUACUUCUCUAAAAUAUAAGACAUCUUAGUCCCCAUGCCUCUGUGAGCAAAGAACAAAAAGGCCAUCUGCCCUUUCUUCCUCCUCCACACUUCUGACUGAUAUAUCCAUGCUCACAAACCUAGCCAAUUGAAAACAUUGGAUAAAUUAAACUUGUAUAUCCUACUCUUACAAUUAUUAUAUAUCAGUUUGUUUUGGUUAACAAAAUGUUAGAGAGUGUUCAAUGCCAUAAAAGUUACAGUUUUGCUCAAUACCUCAAAUUCUUCAUCACUACCAGCAGUUUCACCCAUGAAGAAUUUUAGUAUUUUAUAUUUAAUAUAUGUUUUUAUAUUUAAUAUACUUAAUAUAUUUUAUAUAAUUAUUGAUAUUACUUUACUAUUCAUAAAUCAUGAUUAUUCUAUCAUUAAUCAUUAUUCUAUCAUUUCCCAGGGUGCUGUGCACAAAAUGUCAACGAUCUCCAUUGUGGAGUUAUGAUACAGCUUGGAAUAGCACAAGUUUGCCUUGGCAUAACUCUGGCAUGUGCUAGGCCCUUAGGUGCAUUUACAUGGCAGGGUGUUAGCCAGAAAAAAAGUUUUGUUUGUUAAACGUAAAUUGGGAAAGUUUUUUUGACCGAUCAAAGUCUUUGUGUAGGAAUAAAUAGUGUUUUUUUCCAACAUGUUUCUUCUUAGAUGCAAACAACGGUAGCUUGUUUUUGUACAUUUCAUUUCCGGUGAAUGAACACGGAUGCACAUCGAUUACACUUUGUUUUGUACAUUUCAUUUCAGUGAAUACACACCCAAUAUGAAUGAAAUGCGAUACAUUUUGAGAAAAUAGUUAAUGGGAAAAAGUAAAUAAAACGUUCUUUGAUAUAAUAAUAUAAAAUCAAACACAAUGCACUUUCCCAUCAGAAAAAAUGAAAACUUUCCAGUAGACCCAGUUGGGAAAGCCCUUUAGCUACUUCAAUUGGUUAGCACCAUUUUCCAUCCUGACUGACCUGAUGUCACUUUCGCAAGAUAGAAGAGGUGUUAAAUGGCUAUGUAACUAACCCAAACCCUACCCCUACUCUACUCUAACCACUAACCCUAUCCAAAAAGAAAAAUCCAAAAAGAAACGACUUUAGAAAAUCGAUAGGGCGGUUUGGUGGAUGAAAAAAAGUGCUAACCACUUCAAUUGGGAAGAGUCCGUCAAACGGACAGUAUAUGGGCUAGCUAACACCCUGAUGGAAUGCACCCUGGCCAGAUAAUUUCUAUGCAUUAUCUGUUUUCUGUGGACAACGAACUUUACAUCUUUGGCUUGGUGUUGUACAACAACCAUAAAGUAUGAUCCCCAGUCCUGUUAAAAUAAUCACAGCAACAAUACAGGUCACUAUCAAUUGAGGAACAUCAAGUUCUGCCUUGGGUUCAUUUAUACCGUUUUGCGAAAACCAAAUUUCACUUGAAGUAGUUGUCAUGUUAUAAAGACACAAUACCAUUUAAAUUCUUGGGAUUUUUCAACAUUACACAGUCCAUUUCCGAAAUCAUCAUGUCCAUAAUCCAUUCAAAUCAAACAAUCACAUUUUAUAUAUGUCAUCGUAUAAAAAAUAUUAUGUAAAACAAAUAUAUAAUUAAGAUCACCGAUAUAGCCAAGUAGUUUCUAAAAGCCACAGGAGUCCAAGUGAUACGAUUUUAGUUGAAAAGGUUAAUUACAGGACUCUCUUCUUCGAACCACAUUAUGACUAAAGUUCCUUCUUCGUUUUAGGUGUAAUCAACAGAAAUGAACUUUUUUGAAAUGUUGAAAUUUUGAUGAAUUUUUAAUAACCGACUGUGUUAACAAAUCUUCCAAAAUUGUUAUGUUUGUU